AUUGAACGCUGGCGGCAGGCCUAACACAUGCAAGUCGAACGAGUGGCGGACGUGUGAGUAAUGUCUGGGAAACUGCCUGAUGGAGGGGGAUAACUACUGGAAACGGUAGCUGAUACCGCAUACCAUCAGAUGUGCCCAUAUGGGAUUAGCUUGUUGGUGGGGUAACGGCUCACCAAGGCGACGAUCCCUAGCUGGUCUGAGAGGAUGCCCAGCCAGACUGGAACUGAGACACGGGCCAGACUCCUACGGGAGGCAGCAGUGGGGAAUACUGCACAAUGGGCGCAAGCCGGAUGCAGCCAUGCCGCGUGUAUGAAGAUGGCCUUAGGGUUGUAAAGUACUUGCAGCGGGGAGGCGUUACCCUCAGAAGAAGCACCGGCUAACUCCGUGCCAGCAGCCGCGGUAAUUC
rnacentral:rRNA from 1 species